rnacentral:rRNA from 1 species
AUGAUUUGCCUAAGGUGGAACUGCCGGGGGCUUGGGAACCCCGAGGCAGUUCGCGAGCUUCGCAAUGUCGUGAAGCAAGAAGGCCCCGCUCUGGUCUUUGUCAUGGAAACAAAGAUCCGAGGGAAACAUGUUGAGAAAUUACAGCAGACGCUAGGAUUCGCUGGUUGUUUUGUUGUGGAUAGCGACAGACUAAGUGGGGGUACUAGCCUCUUUUGGUCCAGAAACGUAAUAAUUGAGCUCAAGAACUAUAGCUCGAGCCACAUUGAUGUUGUGGUUCGCGAUGCACUAAAUACUGCAGUGAAUUGGAGGUUCACCGGGUUUUGUGGAGCGCCAAGAGCUGAAACCAUACACCAUAGUUGGCGAUUCCUACGUAGUCUACACAACUUACCUCAUUCAGAGUGGUUGUGUAUGUGUGACUUUAAUGAAACCCUAUAUGGGGAAGAACAUUUCAGCAGGGCAGCUCGACCAGAGUGGCAAAUGAGAGCAUUCCGUGAAGUUGUCAGUGAUUAUGCUCUCCGGGAUUUAGGUUGGUCUGGGGUACCCUACACAUGGGACAACCGACAAUCCGGAGAUGCUAAUGUGAAGGCUCGACUUGAUCGUGUUUUUGCAAAUGAGGAGUUCCAACAGAAAUGCGAGCAUGCUAAGGUGCACCAUGUGUGUUCCCUAGAGUCUGAUCACUGCUUUGUGGUGGUUGAUCUUCAACACCAUCCACCCAAUAGACAUGCUCCGAAACCAUUUCAGUAUGAGAACAUAUGGCAAUCUCAUAGUCCCGGUGUUAUUGGAUUUCUUGAAUGGUGGUGA